CAAUAAACUCGUUACAAACGUGACUGGAUUAAGUCACCUUCCGUUGGAACCAUUCGAUACAAACAGUUUUGUUAUAGGAUUUUACAAUCAAUUACAUGCAAUCCAGAUGGUGUUUGGAGAUAAAGGGACAAAGGAAGCAGCUGCAAUUUAUGUAUAAUAGAAGACAAUGGUUCAUUUAAAUUAUUAUAUAUAAACUCUUUGAAGUCUCCGAGAAUCUAAAACCAGUUUAAAGAUUUCACAUAUUACUUUUGAAAUGAUCGGGAGAAGAGAAAAGUCAGCGACUUAAACACUUCCUGUAUGAAAGAAAGACUCAAUUGUAUCU